rnacentral:misc_RNA from 1 species
GAUGAAGAACGUAGCGAAAUGCGAUAAGUAAUGUGAAUUGUAGAAUUCAGUGAAUCAUCGAAUCUUUGAACGCACAUUGCGCCCCUUGGUAUUCCGGGGGGCAUGCCUGUUCGAGCGUCAUUAUAACCCCUCAAGCUCAGCUUGGUGUUGGGGCCUGCCGACUGGCAGCCCUUAAAAUCAGUGGCGGCGCCAUCUGGCUCUAAGCGUAGUAAUUUCUCUCGCUAUAGAGUCCCGGUGGAUGCUUGCCAGCAACCCCCAACUUUCUAUGGUUGACCUCGGAUCAGGUAGGGAUACCCGCUGAACUUAAGCAUAUCAAUAAGCGGAGGA